rnacentral:pre_miRNA from 1 species
AGGAGCAACAGCCCCAGUGGCGGGGCAGCUCUGGAGCCCUGGAUUCAGCUCCGGCAGGAACUCCGUCUGCAGGGCCUGGAGGCUCCGGGCGGGG